CGUAGGGGGCAAGCGUUGUCCGGAUUUAUUGGGCGUAAAGAGCUCGUAGGCGGUUCCGUAAGUCGUGAAGUCAAAUCUCUGGGCUCAACCCAGAAUCGCUUCCGAUACUGCGGUGACUGGAGUCCGGUAGGGGAGUGUGGAAUUCCUGGUGUAGCGGUGAAAUGCGCAGAUAUCAGGAGGAACACCAACAGCGAAGGCAGCACUCUGGGCCGGUACUGACGCUGAGGAGCGAAAGCAUGGGGAGCGAACAGGAUUAGAUACCCUGGUAGUCCAUGCCGUAAACGUUGGGCACCAGGUGUGGGGAGGAAUCAACCCUUUCCGCGCCGUAGCUAACGCAUUAAGUGCCCCGCCUGGGGAGUACGGCCGCAAGGCUA
rnacentral:rRNA from 1 species